CUUCGUAGGUGACCUGCGGAGGAUCAUUAUUGAAUAAACAUGACGAGUUGUAGCUGGCUUCAAGAGAAGCAUGUGCACACUUGUUGUCUUUAUACAUCCACCUGUGCACCCUCUGUAGUCUUGGGGAACGUGAAUUGGCUUAUCCCUCGAUUGAUUUUCUUGUCAAUUGGAUUGUGAGGAAUGCUAUACUCCAUAAUGUGUAGCUUCCUUCAAUAGCCAUGAGUCUUCUCUCAAGUCUAUGUCUUUCUCAUAUACCUAUGUCUGCAUGUAUUAAAGUGUAAUAUCUGGGCCUCUGUGCCUAUAAAUCUCAAUACAACUUUCAGCAACGGAUCUCUUGGCUCUCGCAUCGAUGAAAAACGCAGCGAAAUGCGAUAAGUAAUGUGAAUUGCAGAAUUCAGUGAAUCAUCGAAUCUUUGAACGCACCUUGCGCUCCUUGGUAUUCCGAGGAGCAUGCCUGUUUGAGUGUCAUUAAAUUCUCAACCUCAUCCAGCUUUGCGGUUGGUUGUGGCUUGGAUAUUGGGGGUGGUUGCAGGUCUCUCUUCUGAGGUCAGCUCUCCUGAAAUGCAUUAGCGGAACCGUUUGCAGUCUGUCAUCAGUGUGAUAAUUAUCUACACAACAGACAAAGGCUGCUCUCUGUGUUGUUCAGCUUCUAAUAGUCUCUAUGUGGACAACUUAUGAAUGUUUGACCUCAAAUCAGGUAGGACUACCCGCUGAACUUAAGCAU
rnacentral:rRNA from 1 species